CUGCACUGUCAGCACAUAUAGUAAAAUUGGAAAGAUACAGAGCAGAUUAGCAUGACCCUGCACGAGGAUGACACGAAAAUUCCUCAAGCGUUCCACAUCUAA